ensembl:lncRNA
CGCCUGCUGUUCCCAGACUUUCUUUUUCGCGCCCUCCUGGUUUUGACCCUUGCCUGUCCUGACUCUGAGCCUGCCUGCCUGACCCUGAGCCUGCCUGCCUGCCAACCUGUACCUUUCCCCUACCUCUGGAUUAUUGACCUCUGCCUACCCUGACCCUGAGUCAGCCUGUCUAGACCUGUCUAUUGCCUGCCCCUGUUGGAUUAUUAAACUUUGUUAAUUCGACGUUGUCUGCAUCUGGGUCUUACCUCCAAACCUGAUACUAUGUGCCGGACCUGAGCCCUAGGAUCAUGCCUCAGGACUACCUGGCCUGAUGACUCCUGGCUGUCCCCAGUCCACCUGGUCGUGCUGCUGCUCCAGUUUCAACUGUUCUGCCUGCGGCUAGGGAACCCUGACCUGUUCACCGGAUGUGCUACCCUGUCCCGGACCUGCUGUUUCCGACUCUCUCUACCGCACCUGCUGUCUCGACCUCUGAAUGCUUGGCUAUGAAAAGCCAACUGACAUUUACUCCUGGGGUGCUGACCUGUUGCACCCUCUACAACCACUGUGAUUAUUAUUUGACCCUGCUGGUCAUCUAUGAACGUUUGAACAUCUUGGCCAUGUUCUGUUAUAAAUCUCUACCCGGCACAAACAGAAAAGGACUGGCCACCUCUCAGAGCCUGGUUCCUCUCUAGGUUUCUUCCUAAAUUCCUGCCUUUCAAAG